UCCCCGGGGAGGAGGCGAGGCCCAGGGCCAGGGCCUGGUCCAGCUUGCUGUGUCGGGUUCUGAGAUGUGGGGGCAGAGCCCCACUGCGGGUAGCAGCUCUGCCGGGGAUCUCAGAUGGGGUGUGGGUGACAGAAGCCAGGCCGGGUGGGACACGGGGAAAGCAAGGCGGGACGCAGACAGACAGGAGGAUGGACCAUGGGGAAGAGGCCAGGCCACAGGGACACUGGGGACAGGAGGAGGGCCACCACCAUGCGAUGAGGAGGCUCUCGGGACCGCGAUGCUGACAUCGGCUCACAGCUGGAGGGAGGGAGGCCAGCAGGUAAACUGGGGCGUCGUCCCUCACUUUUCAAUGCUGGGGUGCAACGGGAAAUCACCCGGCCUUGGCACUGGCCACCAGGCGGAAAGGCCCAGGGUGUCUCUUGUCAUGCUGCACCCAGCUCUGCAUCUUCUGGGCUCCUGCUGCAGGCCCAGCCCAGGGGGCCCGCUGUGUCCCCGCCCCUGAGUGGGACCGCUGUAGGUGACCGCCUGAUGGGGAUGGAGGCGGUGAGGCCCUGAUACCUGCUCCCCAGGAUGGGGCAGGGAGGGGUCCCCCUUCUGUCUCCUGAGUCAGCAGCCUCCCUCUGAUGGCGCCCAGGCUUUCCUCCUGGCUCAAGUCAACCCUGGCUACAGAUGCGGACUGUGGUCAGGCCGAGGGAGGGGACUACCCCUCCCCCACUACACCCCACCCAGGGCCUCAAGGGAACCUGCUUCACGGGAGCGAAAAAGAGGAGAGAGCUCAAGGUGGCACUCGGCGUGUGCCCAGCACUGCUGGCUGCCGUGACAGAACGGCAGAGCAGGGCUCAAGCCCAAGUGGCAGAGGCCUCUGGCCUGAAGCCUGCGGUCCAGUCUGGUCAGAUGUGCAAUGCCUCCAGGCCUCCACGUCCUCCUGUAAAUGACCCACACGCUGAUCAGGAGGGAGGGGGAGGCAGCACAGAGCGCAUCACGGGAGUGCGGCUGGGGAGACUGAGUGAGGAUGGCCAAGGGUCACUGCAGCCCACACCACCUACUGCCCGCCAGAAUCAGGGACCACGAGGCCGUAUGGGUACCAGCCCUGUGCCGGCACAGAGGUGUGGGAAGCGGGGCUGGCCAGCUGAUCGUCAUAAUCACAUGACAGCCGAAGCCCGCCCUGGGGUCCCUCGAUGACCCCUGGAUGCAGCCCCUGCCAGAGGCGAGACCCAGCAUCUGUCACAAGUCAGGCCAAUGGGGCUAGGCGGUUGAGGGGGGACAGCCACAGCUCCAGAUCUGCGCUUGUGUGGUCCUCGGGGAGCCAUGGCCACCCUCCAGCCUCUCCAGGUCCAUCUCCCCCACAGGCUCCACUUAGAUAACUGAAGCAUCUGUGUCCCCAGAGCCACUCCCAGGGCCAGUGGGGACCCCGACUCAAACAGGCGCCCCGGGAAUCUGCUGCUGCUGGUGUGAGCGCUAGUCCACGUGCUUGGGAAAGCGCCGAGGAAAUUCCACCCCUGGGGACCUGUGAGUGCCUCUCCCGCCACGAAAGAAGAAGCAGAAGAAGCAGAAGAAGCACAGAAGGAGCCGCGGAGAGCGGACCGGUAGAGGCUUCGGGACAGACUGUAGGAAGAAGCACGCAAGGAGCCGCGGAGAGCGGACCGGUAGAGGCUUCGGGACAGACUGUAGGGAGAAGCACGCAAGGAGCCGCGGGGAGCGGACCAACAGAGGCUUCGGCCGGGAGGAUUCCCGGGGCAGGCUGUACGGAGAAGGAAAAUAAAAGAAAAGGUUGUCCACUGCCA